rnacentral:pre_miRNA from 1 species
GAGACAGCCUUAUGGAGCAGAACUUGUUUCAGUGGGACUUUUGUGCUCACUGAGUCUUCCCCUUGAGUGUGUCGCU